UGAGCAAUCUGCCCUUCACAUCGGAAUAACCAUUGGAAACGAUGGCUAAUACCGAAUAUGACUUCGGGUCGCAUGAUCUGAAGUGGAAAGCUCCGGCGGUGAAGGAUGAGCUCGCGGCCUAUCAGCUUGUUGGUGAGGUAAUAGCUCACCAAGGCGAUGACGGGUAGCCGGCCUGAGGAGGGUCGACCGCCCACACUGGGACUGAGACACGGCCCAGACCUCCG
rnacentral:rRNA from 1 species